GUGGAUUAGAUACCCUGGUAGUCCACGCUGUAAACGAUGGAUGCUAGCCGUCAGCAAGCAUGCUUGUUGGUGGCGCAGCUAACGCAUUAAGCAUCCCGCCUGGGGAGUACGGCCGCAAGGUUAAAACUCAAAGGAAUUGACGGGGGCCCGCACAAGCGGUGGAGCAUGUGGUUUAAUUCGACGCAACGCGAAGAACCUUACCAGCCCUUGACAUGUCCGGACGGUUUCCAGAGAUGGAUUCCUCCUAGCAAUAGGUCGGAACACAGGUGCUGCACGGCCGUCGACAACU
rnacentral:rRNA from 1 species